rnacentral:rRNA from 1 species
AGUGAACGCUGGCGGUAGGCCUAACACAUGCAAGUCGAACGGCAGCACAGUAAGAGCUUGCUCUUACGGGUGGCGAGUGGCGGACGGGUGAGGAAUACAUCGGAAUCUACUUUUUCGUGGGGGAUAACGUAGGGAAACUUACGCUAAUACCGCAUACGACCUACGGGUGAAAGCAGGGGAUCUUCGGACCUUGCGCGACUGAAUGAGCCGAUGUCGGAUUAGCUAGUUGGCGGGGUAAAGGCCCACCAAGGCGACGAUCCGUAGCUGGUCUGAGAGGAUGAUCAGCCACACUGGAACUGAGACACGGUCCAGACUCCUACGGGAGGCAGCAGUGGGGAAUAUUGGACAAUGGGGGCAAGCCUGAUCCAGCCAUACCGCGUGGGUGAAGAAGGCCUUCGGGUUGUAAAGCCCUUUUGUUGGGAGAGAAAAGCAGCAGGUUAAUACCCCGCUGUUCUGACGGUACCCAAAGAAUAAGCACCGGCUAACUUCGUG